UUGAACGCUGGCGGCAUGCUUUACACAUGCAAGUCGAACGGUAACAGGCCGCAAGGUGCUGACGAGUGGCGACCGGGUGAGUAAUGCAUCGGAACGUGCCCAGUCGUGGGGGAUAACUACUCGAAAGAGUAGCUAAUACCGCAUACGAACUAUGGAUGAAAGCGGGGGACCGUAAGGCCUCGCGCGAUUGGAGCGGCCGAUGUCAGAUUAGGUAGUUGGUGGGGUAAAGGCUCACCAAGCCAACGAUCUGUAGCUGGUCUGAGAGGACGACCAGCCACACUGGGACUGAGACACGGCCCAGACUCCUACGGGAGGCAGCAGUGGGGAAUUUUGGACCAUGGGCGCAAGCCUGAUCCAGCAAUGCCGCGUGCAGGAAGAAGGCCUUCGGGUUGUAAACUGCUUUUGUACGGAACGAAACGGCUCUGGUUAAUACCCGGGGCUAAUGACGGUACCGUAAGAAUAAGCACCGGCUAACUACGUG
rnacentral:rRNA from 1 species